rnacentral:rRNA from 1 species
AGAGUUUGAUCCUGGCUCAGAUUGAACGCUAGCGGGAUGCCUUACACAUGCAAGUCGAACGGCAGCACGGACUUCGGUCUGGUGGCGAGUGGCGAACGGGUGAGUAAUGUAUCGGAACGUGCCUAGUAGCGGGGGAUAACUACGCGAAAGCGUAGCUAAUACCGCAUACGCCCUACGGGGGAAAGCAGGGGAUCGCAAGACCUUGCACUAUUAGAGCGGCCGAUAUCGGAUUAGCUAGUUGGUGGGGUAACGGCUCACCAAGGCGACGAUCCGUAGCUGGUUUGAGAGGACGACCAGCCACACUGGGACUGAGACACGGCCCAGACUCCUACGGGAGGCAGCAGUGGGGAAUUUUGGACAAUGGGGGAAACCCUGAUCCAGCCAUCCCGCGUGUGCGAUGAAGGCCUUCGGGUUGUAAAGCACUUUUGGCAGGAAAGAAACGUCGCGGGUUAAUACCCCGCGGAACUGACGGUACCUGCAGAAUAAGCACCGGCUAACUACGUGCCAGCCGCCGCGGUAAUAC